rnacentral:misc_RNA from 1 species
UCGAGUUCGUUAUUUUUACGCUCGUAACCCUUUGUGAACCAUUAUAACUCGUUGCUUCGGCGGCGCGUCCCCCCGGGGGCGUGCCCGCCGGUGACUUCAGAAUCUCUGUUCGAACCCGACGUUACUUCUGAGUGUUCUUAAGCGAACUAUUA